rnacentral:tRNA from 1 species
UCCGCUUUGGCGCAGUUGGCAGCGUAAACCGCGAUAUCUAGAGGUUCCCUCAAGGGAGCCUGCCUGACGCGGUAGAGUCCAAGGUUCGAGUCCUUGAAGCGGAA